rnacentral:rRNA from 1 species
CGCGGCCUAUCAGCUUGUUGGUGGGGUAACGGCCUACCAAGGCGACGACGGGUAGCUGGUCUGAGAGGAUGGCCAGCCACAUUGGGACUGAGAUACGGCCCAGACUCCUACGGGAGGCAGCAGUGGGGAAUAUUGCGCAAUGGCCGCAAGGCUGACGCAGCGACGCCGCGUGCGGGAUGAAGACCUUCGGGUUGUAAACCGCUGUCAGGGGGGACGAAUACCCGGCCUCGAAUAGGGGACCGGGGGUGACGGUACCCCCAGAGGAAGCACCGGCUAACUCCGUGCCAGCAGCCGCGGUAAUACGGGGGGUGCGAGCGUUGUCCGGAAUCACUGGGCGUAAAGGGCGCGUAGGCGGCUCGUUAAAUCACCUGUGAAAUCCCGGGGCUCAACUCCGGGGCUGCAGGUGAGACUGGCGGGCUGGAGCUCGGUAGAGGCGAGUGGAAUUCCCGGUGUAGCGGUGGAAUGCGUAGAUAUCGGGAAGAACACCAGUGGCGAAGGCGGCUCGCUGGGCCGAUGCUGACGCUGAGGCGCGAAAGCGUGGGGAGCAAACAGGAUUAGAUACCCUGGUAGUCCACGCCGUAAACGAUGGGCACUAGGCGUCGGGGGGAGCGACCCCUUCGGUGCCGCAGCUAACGCAGUAAGUGCCCCGCCUGGGGAGUACGG